CUGAUCCAGCAAUGCCGCGUGAGUGAUGAAGGCCUUAGGGUUGUAAAGCUCUUUUACCAGGGAUAAAAAAAAAAAUACCUGGAGAAUAAGCUCCGGCUAACUCCGUGCCAGCAGCCGCGGUAAUACGGAGGGAGCUAGCGUUGUUCGGAAUUACUGGGCGUAAAGCGCGCGUAGGCGGUUACUCAAGUCAGAGGUGAAAGCCCGGAGCUCAACUCCGGAACUGCCUUUGAAACUAGGUGACUAGAAUCUUGGAGAGGUCAGUGGAAUUCCGAGUGUAGAGGUGAAAUUCGUAGAUAUUCGGAAGAACACCAGUGGCGAAGGCGACUGACUGGACAAGUAUUGACGCUGAGGUGCGAAAGUGUGGGGAGCAAACAGGAUUAGAUACCCUGGUAGUCCACACCGUAAACGAUGAUAACUAGCUGUCCGGGUUCUUGGAAUUUGGGUGGCGCAGCUAACGCAUUAAGUUAUCCGCCUGGGGAGUACGGUCGCAAGAUUAAAACUCAAAUG
rnacentral:rRNA from 1 species